UCGCCUUAUUGCCUUGAUGGUCUCUCACUGUU
rnacentral:piRNA from 1 species